rnacentral:rRNA from 1 species
GAUGAACGCUAGCGGCAGGCUUAAUACAUGCAAGGCGAAGGGGCAGCAAUGUCACUGUCGUAUGGGUGCGUAACGCGUAUGCAACCUACCUAUCACUAGGGGAUAGCCCGGGGAAACCCGGAUUAAUACCGCAUAAUACAGGGGUACAGCAUUGUACUAUUUGUUAAAGCUUUAUCGGUGGUAGAUGGGCAUGCGUUCGAUUAGCUAGUUGGUGUGGGUAACGGCCCACCAAGGCGACGAUCGAUAGGGGAGCUGAGAGGUUGAUCCCCCACACGGGCACUGAGAUACGGGCCCGACUCCUACGGGAGGCAGCAGUAGGGAAUAUUGGGCAAUGGAUGCAAGUCUGACCCAGCCAUGCCGCGUGCCGGAUGAAGGCCCUCAGGGUUGUAAACGGCUUUUAUUCGGGAAGAAGAGCAGGGAUGCGUCCUUGUGUGACGGUACCGAAUGAAUAAGCACCGGCUAACUACGUGCCAGCCGCCGCUGUAAUAC